GUUCGUUCAGACCAGACAGCCAGGUGCUCUGUUCUUCAGUUCGUUGGUGGGGUGUAUCUUGGUAGUAAUGGCAGUUAUUUUCGUAACUCAGCACUUAAACUCCGUUAAAGGUAAGCCUCGACCUUCCUCUAGCUUUAUUUAAAUAUAUAAAGCCUCAGGGGGUUUUCUUCUUCUCUACGGAAGUUGAACCGGUCCUAUUAGCGGCGGCGCUUUACCCACACCGGUUUUGGUAUACCGAAGUAGAUUCAGCGUUUCAGCUUUGUAAUUUUAUUAUAAACUUUUACAGAAUUCUAUAAGUGAAAAUGGUAGAGGCGAAUGUUAGGACUUUUUUUGCUUCUCUCAGUUUUAAUGUUUAAGUUGCAAGUGUUGCUGUGACAUUUAUUUAAUCAAAAGAGAUUUUUCUAACACUGGUCAAAUCGUUAUAUAUCCUUAUAUAAUCUGGAUUUCUGGAGACUAGAUACAUCUCAAACUGAAAAGAAUGUUUCUGAAAUUUGCAAUUGAAUCAGCACAUUACAAUACAUUUAUCAAGCAUUUUCGAAUUUCAAUUUAAAAAAAUAAAUUUAUAAUUUUUUUUUUUAAUUUUGGAAAUAUUCCGAGGAAGUUUAUCCCUCAGAAUAUUCCGACGACAUCUUUCUCGGAAUAUUCCGAGGAAUUUCCGACGAACUUGUGGUCCUCGGAAAUUCCGAGGAAAUAGGGUUUCCUCGGAAUUCCGUCGGAAAUUUCCGAGGGAUUUCCGAGGAAAAAUGAAUUUCCGAGAAGUUAUUUACGAGGAUUUUUUUCGUCGGUAUGUCGUCGGAAUAGCGUUAUUCCGAGGACAUACCGACGAUUUUUUCUCUCAGUAUGCCGCUGUUUUAUUGUAGUGUGAUGUCUACAAAGGAAUGAUAGUUGGAACUUGCUGGUGAGUUUCAUACUUUACCGUGGCGUGCACCAUCUCUUGUUGUUGGCCACAAAGGAAUGCGAGUGUUAGUGUGUUACGACGACGUUAGGAACAACGAUAAUGGCUACUCAACUGUUUGGCUCCUUGGUUUAAAUUAAUACUUCUCGAAGGAUUAAAGAAAGACGACAUAACGUUCGGUCCUUAUUAUCUAAACGGCAAGCUUUUUUAGUUAUGACAUAUGAAACGUCUAAUACGGCAUCAUUUUCACCGAAUACUGACCCAAGGUCGCCUGGUUCUCGACGAUUCAUCGCUCCCUCACCUCUCUCUCGCACCUACCGAUGCAAAUCUGCCAUUGAUUGAUUACAUCUGCUCCGACGUCAAAACGAAGAUGAGGAAACGCGAUUUGGCAAUUUUGAUGCUCUCUGGAUUUGCAAUCUUCUUCACUCUUCAGGUGAUUUCCCCUCACUAAUCACAGUAUAUAAGCUUCUAGAACCAUUCAUCGAUCUGUUGCUAGAGCUUAGAAAUCGAGUGCGAACUCGUUCUAUGAGUGUAGAGUUUCUCAGAUGGAAUCUUAUUGAUCCGUAUGUAUUUCAAUUGCGCGUUAUUGAUUGUUGAUUUUGCUCAGCACGAGGGCGAUUUUGCGUUCAAGGAAGCAUGGUUCCAUCUGUACGAUGAUUACCCAGUCAAACACGAAUCCGAUCGUCUCCCUCCUCCUCUUGUAGCUGACCUCAACGGCGAUGGCAAGAAGGAGGUCCUCGUCGCUACAAACGAUGCCAAAAUUCAGGUAAAACGGAAUGAUUCGCAGCUUAAUGCUUAUGGCUUAGCUAUUACGCGGUGUUGGAUCAAGUGCUAACCUGUGUUAUGGAUGGUGGAUUAGGUCCUGGAGCCUCACUCCAGGCGUGUGGAUGAAGGCUUCAGUGAAGCACGUGUUCUUGCUGAUAUCUCCCUUUUGCCUGACAAGAUCCGUGUCGCCUCCGGGAGACGCGCUGUGGCCAUGGCCACUGGUGUUAUCGAUAGGUACUAUAAAGAUGGGACACCGCAGAAGCAGGUUUUGGUCGUUGUUACCUCUGGUUGGUCUGUGCUCUGCUUUGAUCACAACCUCAAAAAGCUCUGGGAAACGAAUCUCCAGGUUUAUUUUUUUUUUACAUCCUCGUUGUCCUUUGUUCUGUAUGUUAUUGUCUUCUUCUUACUGAUAUUGAUUGGAAUAUCAGGAGGAUUUUCCACAUAAUGCACACCAUAGAGAGAUAUCAAUUUCGAUUAGCAAUUAUACGUUGAAGCACGGUGAUACUGGUUUGGUUAUUGUUGGUGGAAGGAUGGAGAUGCAGCCUUAUGUAUGUACAAGGCAACAUUUUCCACUUGGUUUUGGAUUGUGUUAAUUAAUAAUGGAUUUUUCUUGUCGUCUUAGAAUCAUAUGGACCCAUUUGAGGAACUUGGCAUUACAGAACAAAAUGCUGAGAAACACAGGAGAAGUGCUACUGAGAAACAGGUACGAAAAGAUGUGGAGUUAUUAUAUCUGGUAGUAAUAAAGAUGUUCUUGUGGCACAUUUUGUCUAGGAGAUGUGUUUGGAAUAACUUUAAGCUUCUUUUCAGCCCACUGAAGAUACGGGAGGUGUAAACUUGCGUCACUUUUCGGUUUAUGCAUUCGCUGGCCGGACUGGUGUUCUUCGUUGGAGUAAAAAGACUGAUGUCAGUUAUUUCUCCUUUAUGCCCACUUCUUUCUUUACAUAUAGCUUACCUGUAUUCUUAACUGCAUCAGAUUUGCUGGUCGAAUUGAUAGAAUAUUGUUUUGCUUCGCUUCUAGGAUGUUGAAGCUCACACCUCAGAUGCGUCACAGCUAGUUCCCCAACACAAUUACAAGCUCGACGUGCAUUCUAUAAAUAGCCGUCACCCUGGAGAGGUAAAGUUAACUCGUUCUUCAUUGAUCAUUGAGCGAUGUGUAGCCUGUUCUAGUUGCCUUUUAGGAGAUUUAUAAUUGCUUUGGAAACUGAGAUGUGCUGGACUGAAGUUUGAAUGCAGGGAAUUUAGAGAAUCAAUUCUUAGUGUUAUGCCUCAUCACUGGGUAAGUCUUAUGCUUCCUACUACAUGCUUCGGCUCCUUAGUCUAAUAUGCUUUAAAAUAUUCUGUUCUUAAGGACGUUGUUGUCUUUGUAUCCAGGACCGACGGGAAGAUACAUUAUUAAAGCUUGCUCAUUUCAGGCGACACAAGAGGAAGACAUUGAAGAAGCAAGCUGGUAAGUCUACAACUUUUCCGUUUCAAAAACCUGAGGAACACACACCAGCUGGGAAAGACUUGUCGAGAAAGAUUCCGAAAUUGAUUGGGAAGGCUGCACGUUAUGCUGGCUCGGCAAAACCCAAGAAGGUGAAAGCUCUUACUAAACGUGAAGUACCCACAUAAAAACACUCAUAUUGUGUAUAGGACAGCUAAGCACAUGUUGUUGCAGGGCAUGCAAUACAUACCGACUAUAACUAACUACACUAAGCUUUGGUGGGUUCCUAAUGUUGUUGUGGCUCACCAAAAAGAAGGAAUUGAAGCUAUUCAUUUGCCUACUGGUCGAACUCUUUGCAAGGUAGCUGUUCCUUCAAAUCAUGAACAAAAGCUUUACAAUAUCACGAACCCGUUUUUAAUAUGUUAGCUUCCUUAAACUCAGCUUCAUCUGCUGGAAGGUGGGCUUCACGCCGACAUAAACGGAGAUGGUGUACUCGAUCAUGUCCAGGUACACAUUAGACACAUCUCCCGCUUUCCCUUCAUUGUCUUUACAAUGGAUCUUCAAUACUUUACAUUCUCUGUGCGCACCUUAGGCUGUCGGAGGCAAUGUUGGAGAGAGAACUGUAGUUAGCGGAUCAAUGGAAGUAUUGAAGCCUUGCUGGGCAGUGGCAACCUCAGGCGUUCCCGUCCGAGAACAGCUCUUCAACGUCUCGAUCUGCCAUCACACCCCCUUCAACUUCAUGCACUACGGAGAGUUUUCACGAAACUUUGCUCAGGCAAGAGACACAUCCUCUUUGGAGAUUGCGACUCCCAUUCUCAUCCCCAGAGAUGACGGUCAUAAACACCGAAGAGGAAGUCACGGAGAUGUAAUCUUCUUGACAAAUCGUGGAGAGGUACUUUUUCUGAUGAUCCAAUCUCUUUUAACUUUGAAUCUCGUUCAAUAGCUCAUAGCGUUCCCUACCAGGUGACAUCAUACACGCCUGAUAUGCACGGCCGCGAGCCGCUCUGGCAGUGGCAGCUUCAGACAGAAGCCACAUGGUCGAAUCUCCCAUCUCCAUCUGGUUUAACCGAGUCAGGGACAGUGGUCCCAACCCUGAAACCAUUCUCGUUGCGCAUUCAUGAUAACCAGCCUAUGAUCCUCGCCGGAGGAGAUCAAGCGGCAGUCAUCAUAUCUCCAGGAGGAAGCGUAUUGGCUUCCAUCGAGUUACCGUCACUGCCGACUCAUGCUCUCAUCACUGAUGACUUCUCUAACGACGGAUUAACGGAUGUAAUUGUGAUGACAUCAAAUGGGAUAUACGGGUUCGUUCAGACCAGACAGCCAGGUGCUCUGUUCUUCAGUUCGUUGGUGGGGUGUAUCUUGGUAGUAAUGGCAGUUAUUUUCGUAACUCAGCACUUAAACUCCGUUAAAGGUAAGCCUCGACCUUCCUCUAGCUUUAUUUAAAUAUAUAAAGCCUCAGGGGGUUUUCUUCUUCUCUACGGAAGUUGAACCGGUCCUAUUAGCGGCGGCGCUUUACCCACACCGGUUUUGGUAUACCGAAGUA
rnacentral:lncRNA from 1 species